AUAGGCUAUCGUCCUGUUGACAAUCAGCCGUCAUGCUCGCAUGUAAGGCUGAUUGUUAAUUGGACGAUGUAACAGGAAUGAGGAUGCAGCGCUGCGAGCAAGCGAGCAGUGCGAAAUCCGAAUUUCUGUUAAGAAUUGCGAGAGCACGAAGUGCGGAGCAAUUCUAAGCUUAU
rnacentral:sRNA from 1 species